UGGGGAAUAUUGCACAAUGGAGGGAACUCUGCUGCAGCGACGCCGCGUGAACGAAGAAGGCUUUCGAGUCGUAAAGUUCUUUUAUAUGGGAAGAUAAUGACGGUACCAUAAGAAAAAGCCCCGGCUAACUACGUGCCAGCAGCCGCGGUAAUACGUAGGGGGCUAGCGUUGUCCGGAAUCACUGGGCGUAAAGGGUUCGCAGGCGGGAAUGCAAGUCAGGUGUAAAAGGCAGUAGCUUAACUACUGUAAGCAUUUGAAACUGCAUAUCUUGAGAAGAGUAGAGGUAAGUGGAAUUUUUAGUGUAGCGGUGAAAUGCGUAGAUAUUAAAAAGAAUACCGGUGGCGAAGGCGACUUACUGGGCUCAUUCUGACGCUGAGGAACGAAAGCGUGGGUAGCAAACAGG
rnacentral:rRNA from 1 species